UUUCUAGGUUUUGGAGUCUAUUUCAGGCUGUAAUUUCUUUCUUAUGAAACAAUGGAUACUAGUGAUAAUUUUAUGUUUUGAGACUUUGCUGUAAACUUGGUACUUAGGUCUUCUCUCCUACUCUUAGAUUAGCUUCAUCUUUCCUUAUUGCUAUCUGUUCUUCAUGUCCCCUCUUUUUCCAGCAGUCCACUCACUCUGCAGCCGAACUAUGACCAUAUCUGAAACUGACAAUAUAUUUCUGCCCGAUUUUAACUCCAAUUCCUACACAAAACAAACUGCUGAUCAUCCCAAUCUUAAUACAUUUGAUGUAGUGCUUUUAACCUUGCAAUUGGUUGUUUAUUUCCAAAAAGCAGAUUUCUUUGUGAUCCUUGCCAUUUUUUGUGUUUCAUUGUCUAUGCAGUUUGCGUUACUUGAAGGGUCAUCAGUUGAUGAUGACCUUGAGAAUCUGUCCCAAUCUUAAUAUAUUUGAUGUAGUGCUUUUAACCUUGCAAUUGGUUGUUUAUUUCCAAAAAGCAGAUUUCUUUGUGAUCCUCGCCAUUUUUUGUGUUUCAUUGUCUAUGCAGUUUGCGUUACUUGAAGG
rnacentral:lncRNA from 1 species